rnacentral:rRNA from 1 species
GGGUUGUGAGGUUAAGCGACUAAGCGUACACGGUGGAUGCCCUGGCAGUCAGAGGCGAUGAAGGGCGUGCUAAUCUGCGAUAAGCGCCGGUAAGGUGAUAUGAACCGUUAUAACCGGCGAUACCCGAAUGGGGAAACCCAGUGUGAUUCGUCACACUAUCAUUAACUGAAUCCAUAGGUUAAUGAGGCGAACCGGGGGAACUGAAACAUCUAAGUACCCCGAGGAAAUCAGAGAUAGUAGCGGCGCGAAGGAAGAGCCUGAAUCAUGUGUGUUAGUGGACCUGGGUGCGCUACGACAGCCCCGUACACGGGCGUGACUCUGAGUGACACGUGGUAUCCUCUGAUAACCCCUCCUAAAUCCGAGACCAUAGUGAACAGGUGAGGGAAAGGCCGUCCUGAAACCGUGUACGUAGGUGGGAACAGGUUUACCUGUGUGUGCGUACCUUUUGUAUAGGGUCAGCGACUUAUAUUCUGUAGCAAGGUUAACCGUAUAGGGGAGCCGUAGGGAAACCGAGUCUUAACCGGGCGUUAAGUUGCAGGGUAUAGACCCGAAACCCGGUGAUCUAGCCAUGGGCAGGUUGAAGGUUGGGUAACACUAACUGGAGGACCGAACCGACUAAUGUUGAAAAAUUAGCGGAUGACCUGUGGCUGGGGGUGAAAGGCCAAUCAAACCGGGAGAUAGCUGGUUCUCCCCGAAAGCUAUUUAGGUAGCGCCUCGUGAAUUCAUCUCCGGGGGUAGAGCACUGUUUCGGCUAGGGGGCCAUCCCGGCUUACCAACCCGAUGCAAACUGCGAAUACCGGAGAAUGUUAUCACGGGAGACACACGGCGGGUGCUAACGUCCGUCGUGAAGAGGGAAACAACCCAGACCGCCAGCUAAGGUCCCAAAGUCAUGGUUAAGUGGGAAACGAUGUGGGAAGGCCCAGACAGCCAGGAUGUUGGCUUAGAAGCAGCCAUCAUUUAAAGAAAGCGUAAUAGCUCACUGGUCGAGUCGGCCUGCGCGGAAGAUGUAACGGGGCUAAACCAUGCACCGAAGCUGCGGCAGCGAACGUAUCACCCAAGACAACUUUACGGAGUUGACGAUUGACGGAGCGAAGCGACGUCAAAGCGUUCAUUAAAGUCGAGUUGGCUUAGGGAUACGUUCGUUGGGUAGGGGAGCGUUCUGUAAGCCUGUGAAGGUGUGUCGUGAGGCAUGCUGGAGGUAUCAGAAGUGCGAAUGCUGACAUAAGUAACGAUAAAGCGGGUGAAAAGCCCGCUCGCCGGAAGACCAAGGGUUCCUGUCCAACGUUAAUCGGGGCAGGGUGAGUCGACCCCUAAGGCGAGGCCGAAAGGCGUAGUCGAUGGGAAACGGGUUAAUAUUCCCGUACUUGGUGUUACUGCGAAGGGGGGACGGAGAAGGCUAUGUUGGCCGGGCGACGGUUGUCCCGGUUUAAGCGUGUAGGUGUGUGUUCCAGGUAAAUCCGGUUCACUUUAACACUGAGGCGUGACGACGAGGCACUACGGUGCUGAAGCAACAAAUGCCCUGCUUCCAGGAAAAGCCUCUAAGCAUCAGGUAACAUCAAAUCGUACCCCAAACCGACACAGGUGGUCAGGUAGAGAAUACCAAGGCGCUUGAGAGAACUCGGGUGAAGGAACUAGGCAAAAUGGUGCCGUAACUUCGGGAGAAGGCACGCUGACACGUAGGUGAAGUGAUUUACUCAUGGAGCUGAAGUCAGUCGAAGAUACCAGCUGGCUGCAACUGUUUAUUAAAACACAGCACUGUGCAAACACGAAAGUGGACGUAUACGGUGUGACGCCUGCCCGGUGCCGGAAGGUUAAUUGAUGGGGUCAGCGCAAGCGAAGCUCCUGAUCGAAGCCCCGGUAAACGGCGGCCGUAACUAUAACGGUCCUAAGGUAGCGAAAUUCCUUGUCGGGUAAGUUCCGACCUGCACGAAUGGCGUAAUGAUGGCCAGGCUGUCUCCACCCGAGACUCAGUGAAAUUGAACUCGCUGUGAAGAUGCAGUGUACCCGCGGCAAGACGGAAAGACCCCGUGAACCUUUACUAUAGCUUGACACUGAACAUUGAGCCUUGAUGUGUAGGAUAGGUGGGAGGCUUUGAAGUGUGGACGCCAGUCUGCAUGGAGCCGACCUUGAAAUACCACCCUUUAAUGUUUGAUGUUCUAACGUGGACCCGUAAUCCGGGUUGCGGACAGUGUCUGGUGGGUAGUUUGACUGGGGCGGUCUCCUCCUAAAGAGUAACGGAGGAGCACGAAGGUUGGCUAAUCCUGGUCGGACAUCAGGAGGUUAGUGCAAUGGCAUAAGCCAGCUUGACUGCGAGCGUGACGGCGCGAGCAGGUGCGAAAGCAGGUCAUAGUGAUCCGGUGGUUCUGAAUGGAAGGCCAUCGCUCAACGGAUAAAAGGUACUCCGGGGAUAACAGGCUGAUACCGCCCAAGAGUUCAUAUCGACGGCGGUGUUUGGCACCUCGAUGUCGGCUCAUCACAUCCUGGGGCUGAAG